rnacentral:tRNA from 6 species
GCGGGUGUAGCUCAAUGGUAGAGCAGAGGCCUUCCAAGCCCCCGACGAGGGUUCGAUUCCCUUCACCCGCUCCA